rnacentral:rRNA from 1 species
UGUAUGUGAAUAUUCCAACCUGGUCCUGUCUGAUUUCAGAAGCUAAACAGGGUAAGGCCUAAUUACUACUUGGAUGGGAUACCCUGAGGAAAUAUAAGGAACCACUAGAA